GGAGGGAAGCUGUACUGCCACCAUAUUAAGAAAAAAAGAAUUUGGUCCUACGCUACUACAGCUUGUAACACCUUAAGCCCAAAGGCCGCUUCAGAGGAUGAGAAUAUAUCUAGCCUGUAGUGCUUAGUGAAGGUGUUGAAGGAAGACCAAGAUGCUGCCUUACAGAUGUCUUCUGGAGAAACAAGAGCCCUUUCUGCCCAUGAGGCAUCCAUAGCCAGAGUGGAAGGAGCCGUUAGAGAAACUGGAACUUGAAAACCACUGGAAGAAUAUGGCAAUCUAAUAGCUUGAAUGAGCCAACAAGAAAGAAUUGCGGGAAGCUUCUUUCCCCUUGAAUUUUCCCUGGAAGUUAAACAGAUUGUCAGAAUUCCUGUACUCCUUAGUCCUAGAAAGAUACAUUUGCAAUGCUCUUCUGUCAUCUAAGUUAUGCCAUUUAAGCUCCUGAGGAGAGGAGGCAUUACCACAAAAAGAAG